rnacentral:tRNA from 1 species
GGAAGCGUGGCCGAGUGGUUUAAGGCAGCGGUCUUGAAAACCGCCGAGUCGAAAGGCUCCGUGAGUUCGAAUCUCACCGCUUCCGCCA